AACUCUUACUGGAUGAUGAUUAUUGCAUUCUCAUCCAGUUUCUAUCAGCAGUACUAAAAGCUAGAUGUAACUAUGAAAAGCUUGGUGGUUACAUAAGGAACACUAAAGAAAUUCAAGGCUCCAUGCUGCGACAAAACACUACUGCUUAUCUGGCUGAUUUGGUUCUUCUUCCUUUUCAGGAUCUUCCUCCUCUUCCUCUUUCUUUUUCU
rnacentral:misc_RNA from 1 species